GUGCCAGCCGCCGCGGUAAUACGAAGGGGGCUAGCGUUGUUCGGAUUUACUGGGCGUAAAGCGCGCGCAGGCGGCUUUGCAAGUCAGGGGUGAAAUCCCAGAGCUCAACUCUGGAAUUGCCUUUGAGACUGUGAGGCUUCGAGUACGGGAGAGGUGAGUGGAAUUCCCAGUGUAGAGGUGAAAUUCGUAGAUAUUGGGAAGAACACCGGUGGCGAAGGCGGCUCACUGGCCCGUUACUGACGCUCAGGCGCGACAGCGUGGGGAUCAAACAGGAUUAGAAACCCCGGUAGUCC
rnacentral:rRNA from 1 species